rnacentral:rRNA from 1 species
GAUGAACGCUGGCGGCGUGCUUAAUACAUGCGAGUCGAGCGAACGGACGAGAAGCUUGCUUCUCUGAUGUUAGCGGCGGAAGUGAGAGGAAAGCGUGGAUCACCUACCUAUAGGACUGGGAUAACUUCGGGAAACCGUAGCUAAUACCGGCUAAUAUUUUCAACCGCAUGGUUCAAAAGUUAAAGCCGGUCUUGCUGUCACUUAUGGAUGGAUCCGUGCUGCAUUAGCUAGUUGUUAAGGUAACGGCUUACGAAGGCAACGCUGCAUAGGCGACCUGAGAGGGUGAUCGGCCACACUGGAAAUGAGACACGGUCCAGACUCCUACGGGAGGCAGCAGUAGGGAAUCGUCAGCAAUGGGCGAAAGCCUGACGGAGCAACGCCGCGUGAGUGAUGAAGGUCUUCGGAUCGUAAAGCUCUGUUAUUGGGGAAGAACAUAUGUAUAAGUAACGGUGCACAUCUUGACGGUACCUAAUCAGAAAGCCACGGCUAACUACGUG